CUAGCCGUAAACGAUGGACACUAGAUGUUGCCCGUAUAGACCCGGGCAGUGUCGUAGCUAACGCGUUAAGUGUCCCGCCUGGGGAGUAUGCACGCAAGUGUGAAACUCAAAGGAAUUGACGGGGGCCCGCACAAGCGGUGGAGUAUGUGGUUUAAUUCGAUGCAACGCGAAGAACCUUACCAGGGCUUGACAUGUCGCGAAUCCCUGUGAAAGCGGGGAGUGCCGCAAGGAGCGCGAACACAGGUGG
rnacentral:rRNA from 1 species